GGGCAGAUAUAUGUAGCUCACUGUACACGACACAGGGCAAAGGAAAUCAGUGUUCAGCAACUAUGUUAAAUGCCAUGUACGUAAAUUUUACAACGCUACUCGUUCGAAGCGCGCACAGGUGCAUAUUGAAGAAAAGUUUCCAGGGUAGAUAAUUUAGUUCGUAAUUUACACUAAUUUUGCUCUAACCACGAGACAUAAUAAUUUGAAUAUACUGCACGGAAAAACCUAGAGCGAAUUAAAUUGUGUGUCAGCUUCGUGUGUAUACAUAUAGUCUUUCCUAUGCAUUAGGUUUUUUGCGUAAUGCAUUAACAGUUGACAGCCUAUCUUAUGAUGUGUACUCUGUUUACAUUACAGUUGUUUAUUAGUUCACUCGUUUGUUUUGCGACUGAUGAAAUGCCGGCAUAUAUAUAUUUUCAACAUUUGACAUAACCCUGUAUGCCUUGCAGGGACAACCCAGCACGUGCAUUUCUCAGCACCCAGUGAACUGCCAAAAGUGACUCAAACACAGGCCACCAGUGGAGCUCGGCUGUACCACUGCAGUGCUGCGGAAAUUGCCUUCACCAGCGGCUUUGCAACAGCUGUUUCGCAGCGUGUCGGAGACAAUGCCUACGAAAUUAUUGGCCCUGAUCAUGAGAGCCCUCAAGGGGCAAACAACAUCUCUGUUGCAGAAGUGAGCCCGAUACCACUUGGAAGUUACCAUGACAGAUGACACGGCAGCAAUAGAUACAGAGACUGCCAUGUCUACUGCAGCUGCAACAGUGUACGAGGCAAGCAGCAGCGCGUCAGCAUCAGCAGCAGUGUCAGAAGGAACCCCACCAGGCCUGGUAGAGCAACAUGUGUGCUAUCACUGACUUUUUUUUGUAGUGGAUACAACUCAUUUGCUCAACAUACAAAAGCUUUUCACCACGACUGUGAGCCAGUGUUAUUGUGCAGCAAGUGCAAGACUAAGUUAGGUGUUAUAACACAGUACAAGCAUCACUUUAAUAUAUGCAAAUGCAAACAUAUUACAGUUGUUGUCCUCCCAGCCAGCCCACAUAGUGACAACAAUGUGGAACACAUGGUGGGACACACCUCUCCCCCAUUACAAGAUAGUAGAGACUGUCAGUGUUGUUGCUAGAUUGACUGGUCUUUGUAGGCAACUAGAAGGACAACACAGGUGUCAUAAGAUUGUUGUUGAUGUUGUUGUUGAAGAGGUAAAAAAGAAGUUUGAUGCAGGUGAAGUGCCAACUGAUAUUGAGCAAAUCAAAAGCAACCACCUGAGAAAGCAACACUAUCGAAAUUUGGGUAUCUAUGUGCUGCCAACUCUGGUAAGAAUGGCAUAGGACAGAAGUGUGAUGAAAAUCACACAGACACUGCUGUUGCAUCACUGGCCACAGUGAGCAGCGACUUGUAGGGCAAGAGAGUCAACUGAAACUAACAUUAUGAUAUAGUGUCAUGCUCCCAUGUGACCACUUUUCAAGUUAUUUUGCAAGGUACAGCUCAACCUCCAGAAACAAGACUGCAACUUGUCUGUAAAAAAGCUUUCACAAAAAAUUAUUCAUAACACUAUUAACAUAGCAGUAUCUUUUUUUUUGUGUCGGUUCGAGGUUCCCGGCUGUCCAUUAAUGCAAAAAUUGAGGAAAAAAAGAACAUGUGUCAUACUUACACCUUUUUAACAAGUACGAGGGGGACAGAACUUUUCUAGUCAUGCAUCUUCAUCAUACUAUCAAGUUUUUAAAUGCCUUUUAUAUAUUAUUACCAGUUAUAUCUGAGUGCAUUGUAUGCAUGUAGCAGGUGUAAAAUCAGGUCAGUUGGAUCAGAUGCCUUAUCUGCAAGCGAGCCCUAUAUUCAAGAAAUUUGAAUUAAAAUAGUUACGUUAGAGACGCAGUCUUUCAGCACUUUGUUGCCUGUGGUUUAAGCAUUGCUCAAUACUUUUGUGGGUGGCAAUUUCAACCGGCACAGCACUGCGCUUUGCCACAGUCACAUUUGUCUUCAAAGCGGUGUUUACCAUUUGUGUUGAUCUGUUUGUGUAUGCAUAGAGCAUGUUUUUAAUUUAUAUUUUUCUGUAUUCUUGUGCUUGCACUAAGCUUGUGUAAGGCAGUUACAAAAUGUGCGUCACUAUAACGAACUGUUCUGUUGAGCUUACACUUGCAAAUAAUCGUGUUCAGAUGGCCGCACUUCUAUGCGGGUGCACCGCUAGCUUUGUGUAUGUUCUCAUGUUUGUAUAAAGCUUAUAUAAGCUAGUUAGAAAAUGUAUGUCACUAAGCAUUGUGAUAUUCUUUAAAGAACUGCUUGGUUGGUUUUACACUUGUGAAUUAGUAUUGAGGCGGUGGUAUUCCCAUGUAUGCCCACUGCUAGCUUUCUGUGUCCUCACGUGUUUGUAUUAAGUUUCUACAAGGGAGUUACAGCAUGUACGUCACUAAGCGCUGUGAUAUUUUUUAAAGAACUGCUUUGUUGGUUUUACACCUGUGAGUAAUAGUACUCGGGUGGCACUAGUCAUGUGUAGGUACACAGGGACCAUUUGUAUACAUUAUGCUCAUGUAAAGCAGUUACAAAGUGUAUGUCACUAAUUACUGUGAUAUUUGUUGAAUUGCUGUGAUGGUUUUACACAUGUGAAUAAUAGUGGUCAGGACACAGUACUUGCGGUGUAUAGUUGAAUUUAUACACUGCCAAGACAUGGGCUGUAUACGUACCAAAAGAAAUGUGUCAUUAUAUUGUUGUGAUUAUUACUGUUUGGAUUUUAUUAAACUGUAAUAAAAUUGUUUCUUGUAUCUAUUGAGGUAUGGCAAUUUGUCAUGCAACCAAACUGAGGACCUGUACUUGUGUAUACAAAUAAACAGCUAAUUUAAGAGUA